rnacentral:rRNA from 1 species
GAUGAACGCUGGCGGCGUGCCUAAUACAUGCAAGUCGAGCGAACAGACGAGGAGCUUGCUCCUUCGACGUUAGCGGCGGACGUGUGAGUAACACGUAGGUAACCUACCUAUAAGACUGGGAUAACUUCGGGAAACCGGCGCUAAUCCCGGAUAAUAUUUCGCUCCGCAUGGUUCGAUAGUGAAAGAUGGCUUUGCUAUCACUUAUAGAUGGACCUGCGCCGUAUUAGCUAGUUGGUAAGGUAACGGCUUACCAAGGCAACGAUACGUAGCCGACCUGAGAGGGGGAUAGGCAACACUGGAACUGAGAGACGGUCCAGAGUCCUACGGGAGGCAGCAGUAGGGAAUCUUCCGCAAUGGGCGAAAGCCUGACGGAGCAACGCCGCGUGAGUGAUGAAGGUCUUCGGAUCGUAAAACUCUGUUAUUAGGGAAGAACAAACGUGUAAGUAACUGUGCACGUAGUGACGGUACCUAAUCAGAAAGCCACGGCUAACUACGUG